CGAAAUCCGUCUCAUUUGCUUAUUUGCACGUACUUAACUUCUCCAACAUGAGCUCUUCACCCAUUGAUGUU
rnacentral:sRNA from 1 species